rnacentral:tRNA from 1 species
ACCUGGGUGGCUCAGUCGGUUGAGCGUCUGCCUUCAACUCAGGUCAUGAUCCCCAGGUC